rnacentral:rRNA from 1 species
UGCGUAACGCGUAUGCAAUCUACCUCUAACUGGGGAAUAGCCCGGGGAAACUCGGAUUAAUACCCCAUAAUAUUAAGUUAGCUCCUGUUAAUUUAAUUAAAGUCUUGGCGGUUAGAGAUGAGCAUGCGUCCCAUUAGCUAGUUGGUGAGGUAACGGCUCACCAAGGCAACGAUGGGUAGGGGUUCUGAGAGGAUGAUCCCCCACACUGGUACUGAGACACGGACCAGACUCCUACGGGAGGCAGCAGUGAGGAAUAUUGGGCAAUGGACGAAAGUCUGACCCAGCCAUGCCGCGUGCAGGAUGACGGCCCUAUGGGUUGUAAACUGCUUUUAUAUGGGAAGAAACCCCCGAACGUGUUCGGGGCUGACGGUACCAUAAGAAUAAGCAUCGGCUAACUCCGUGCCAGCAGCCGCGGUAAUACGGAGGAUGCAAGCGUUAUCCGGAUUUAUUGGGUUUAAAGGGUCCGUAGGCGGACUUUUAAGUCAGUGGUGAAAGCCUACAGCUUAACUGUAGAACUGCCGUUGAUACUGGAAGUCUUGUGUAUAGUUGAAGUGGGCGGAAUACGUCAUGCAGCGGUGAAAUG